rnacentral:rRNA from 1 species
AGGGUUUGAUCCUGGCUCAGAUUGAACGCUGGCGGCAUGCUUUACACAUGCAAGUCGAACGGCAGCACGGAGAGCUUGCUCUCUGGUGGCGAGUGGCGCACGGGUGAGUAAUACAUCGGAACGUGUCCUGUUGUGGGGGACAACCGGUCGAAAGACCGGCUAAUACCGCAUAAGACCUGAGGGUGAAAGCGGGGGAUCGCAAGACCUCGCGCAAUUGGAGCGGCCGAUGCCCGAUUAGCUAGUUGGUGAGGUAACGGCCCACCAAGGCGACGAUCGGUAGCCGGACUGAGAGGUUGAACGGCCACAUUGGGACUGAGACACGGCCCAG